UUCCUACGGGGGGCAGCAGUGGGGAAUAUUGGGCAAUGGAGGCAACUCUUACCCAGCAAUGCCGCGUGAAUGAAGAAGGUCUUCGGAUUGUAAAGUUCUUUAAUUGGGGACGAAAAAAAUGACGGUACCCAAGGAAUAAGCCCCGGCUAACUACGUGCCAGCAGCCGCGGUAAUACGUAGGGGGCAAGCGUUGUUCGGAAUGACUGGGCGUAAAGGGUGUGUAGGCGGUGUAGCAAGUUAGAAGUGAAAACCCAAGGCUCAACCAUGGGACUGCUUUUGAAACUGUCAAACUAGAGUACGGGAGG
rnacentral:rRNA from 1 species